GUGACAGGAUGAAGGUCUACGUAUUCAAACUACGUCACACCAUGAGAAAGUAAAAAGAAACAGCGAUGUUGUAAAGCGGUUUAUCGACACCACUGCAUUUUUUGGUCAUGGAAUAAUUGGCUUUUAGAGGACACGAUGAGAGGGAAAGUUCCGCUAACAAGGGCAACUACAAUGAGAUUGCGGAGUAGCUGUUACAGCAAAAAAAUGCAAUGUUUGAGGAUAGUCUACAACAACAAACACUUUAUCACGGCAACUGGUUUGGUACAUUCACCUCUGAAGCAACUGGGUUCUACAGUUUGACCCCACUGCUGUCCCUGGCUCCACACACAUCCUGCCCGGCCAUCUAGAUGUGUGAAGGUAGGUGUCUUUUCUGUAGGGAAGCUAAUGAUCCAUCAUGUAUAACAUUCCUGGGAGCUUGUAAACAAAUGUUUUUAUUACCAUAUCAUUUUUGUAUGUUCUCUAUAGUUAUGUACUUGAACAUUUUUAAUUUGACCAAUUCAGAACAUUUGGGCAAACUCCUGGCAGAUGUAAUUCUUCACUGGAUCAGUCUGAACCUUUGCACACAUACUGCUGCCAUCUUGUGGACAACAUCUAAAUUCACACCCAUAAUCCUAUAUCAAUGGAUGGCCUUUCGCUUGCAUUUCAAAAUGAUUGUAUUAUCUUUUUCCAGAUCUAAUGUGUUUUAUUUUCCUACAUUAAUUUCAAAUUUCCACAGACUUCCAUAAACUUCAAAGUGUUUCCUUUCAAAUGGUAUCAAGAAUAUGCAUAUCCUUGGUUCAGGUUCUGGAGAUACAGGCAGUUAGAUUUGGGUAUGUCAUUUUAGGCAGAAAUUGGAAAAAAGGGUCUGAUCCUUAUUAAGAGAUGAUGACCACUCAGCUACUGUUGUCAUCUCUCUCCGGACAUGAACUGAAGCCACGUUUCAUUUGCCCGCUCAUUCACUGGCAAGUUGAAUGUUUCCUGUCCAAGCACUUCAAUCCUGUCCUGCCCUCAGUGGAAGAGUUGAGCUCUCUCCAAACACCAUCCAUCCAUCCAUGAUGAGCCUGUCCUGCACUAAAGUCUAUGAACACCUCAACCCCCGUCCUUCACUGAAGUCGAACCUCUGAACACCUCAACUCAUGCCUCAUACCCUCAUUCAAUCACUGCUGUGAUCCCUUCCCAACACUACUCAUUUAGGAAAAGUCAAGGAGGGGAGGCAUGACUUUAUAAUUGGCAGAGAAGGAGGACCAGAAGGAGCCGCUGCUCAGUGCAACGCAGCCUCCAUUCUCAUGGAUGAAGACCGCAUGGAGCUGGUGUAGCGAACCAUGGCAACAGUGGCCCUGCCCUCUCUGGCCAUCCUGACCGGGGCUCAGGAGAUCUCAGACGACUAGUGGAAGGACAUGGUCCAGAAGAUGCUCCAGACUCGCCAAAGUUCAGAAGGCCUGACUAUGGAGCGCAAAUUAGACUGAAUUGCCUCCUUUCCCACAGUGUCUUUAACUGUGCCCUGCAUUUCACCAUCACACUUACCCCAGGGGAGUCUGAGCUGAGGUCCUCUGAACAGUCCUAGGUGUCUCAAUUCUCAAGAUAUGAGAGAAAUUGUGCAAACCCCUUUAUGUCAAAUUCAUAUUAUAUUAGGAUAUAUCUUCUAAAUAUUUGUGUUUGAAAGGAGCCCACUGAUCCUAACCUAGAGCACGGCAGGUAGCUUAGUGGUUAAGCACAAUGGGCCAAUGACUGAAAGAUUGCUGGUUUGAAUCCCCAAGCCAACUAGGUGAAACAUCUGCCUGUGCCCUUGAGCAUGCCACUUAACCUUAAUUGCUCCAGUACAUUUCUCUGGAUAAGAGUGUCUGUAAAAUAUGUAUAUCUUUUUUUCAUGAGCAGUCAAAAAUACUGACUGAGCAGUUCUAGUGUUAAAUGGCUGUGGGCUAGCAGACUGGUUCAUACUGUGUGCAUUACUGUUCAUACUGUGUUGUCAUUGAAUUAAAAUUAUUUUAAUGGUUGUCCCUAAUGACCUGAUUCAUACUGUAGUUUGUAGCCUACAUUUCUGUACCAUGCAUAUUAUUGUCUGUUUAGCAUUGCUGAAGCCAACUAGCCAAGUCCAUAGAUUAUAGGCACUCAAUAAAUAGAUAUGAAUGAUAAUUCAG